GAUGAACGCUGGCGGCGUGCCUAAUACAUGCAAGUCGAGCGAACGGACGAGAAGCUUGCUUCUCUGAUGUUAGCGGCGGACGGGUGAGUAACACGUGGAUAACCUACCUAUAAGACUGGGAUAACUUCGGGAAACCGGAGCUAAUACCGGAUAAUAUUUUGAACCGCAUGGUUCAAAAGUGAAAGACGGUCUUGCUGUCACUUAUAGAUGGAUCCGCGCUGCAUUAGCUAGUUGGUAAGGUAACGGCUUACCAAGGCAACGAUGCAUAGCCGACCUGAGAGGGUGGUCGGCCACACUGGAACUGAGGCACGGUCCAGACUCCUACGGGAGGCAGCAGUAGGGAAUCUUCCGCAAUGGGCGAAAGCCUGACGGAGCAACGCCGCGUGGGUGAUGAAGGUCUUCGGAUCGUAAAACUCUGUUAUUAGGGAAGAACAUAUGUGUAAGUAACUGUGCACAUCUUGACGGUACCUGAUCAGAAAGCCACGGCUAACUACGUG
rnacentral:rRNA from 1 species